UCGAUUCAUACACGAAAAUAUGGGCUUGUAGUAUAUCUCCUCUCUUAAAUUAUACAGCCCAUUGACUCACUAGAUGAAAUAGCCCAAUCCAAAUGCCUAAUUCUAAUAUACGUAUACGUAUGUAUAACGAACAGCUGCGAUGGGUGACAAAUUAUCCCAGAUAUGGCGGCCUACAGACCCAGCCGACUGACAUAUCCGGGUGACUCGCAAGAAGGGCCUUACAGUCCUCAGCAAUAUGACCAUUCUCAGACACGUCCGCUGCCGGAGAUGACGACGGUGUCCGAACCAGCAAGACAUCCACCUCGACAUCCCCUCAGGAACCCAGGGAAAACCACCGUCGCCUUUCCACCAGAAUCGCGGGUGAUCGCGCCGAAGCCACCCAGCCCGGCCGCCCGUCCACCCAGCCAUCCGCAGGUAAUGCUUAUUUAUAUAUUAGGGUUAUCCAUAUUUUAGCGUUGUUCAUACUUUCGUUAAUGUUAUAUAUUUUAAGUUUGGCAAGAUUAAUAUAUAUUAUAUUGUAUUAAAAAGUAAUUUGUUUUUUAGAAUAAAUAAUUAAUUAUGAGUCGAAGAGUUCAUCAUCUGGUUCGAAGAAUUCAUCAUCUCAUCCGCCACCUUUUUUUAUUCUUCUUUCAAAAUCUCUUUGGAAAAUUUGAACAUCUUCAUCAUGCUGUUUUUUACUUGUAAGUCUUUGCCGUCUCCAUAAGCAAUCAUUUACUGCUGACAACAAUGCGCGACUAGCAUACUCUUUUUAUAUUAUAAUACACAUCAAUCAUCACCCUACUGUAUAUUAUCGGAUUCCCCAUAUACAUAUAUGUAUAUAUGCGUGCGUGCGUGCGUGCGUGUGUAUGUAUAUAUACCAUUAAAUAUUACCUACAAAUCGACAUUCCUUUCUCAACAUCAAACUAAUCCACUAGAGUUAAAAAUUUGUGGGUUAACUCAAGAAACACUGGUUUGACAGCUCUGAACUCAGCGCAUACACAUUAUACACACGACGUGUAUGUAUGUAUAUAUAUAUACAUGAUGAUGACUUGGUGGACAACAAAGACAGUCUAGACUACAUGCUGCGAAACAGUGUGUGAUCUGAUGGAAAAAAAAAAAACCAAAUGGAGAUUAAAAUUGACUUUGAAAAUGAAGCAGAGAGGUGACUCAAAUUGGGAGACAAGGUGGCGGGCGGGUGGGUCUCUGCCAUCUUUUGCAUUUAUGAUUUUGUCUUGAAAAUUUUUUGGCCUUCGCUUGCAUAUUUUAUUUUUCUUCUUAAUUAUGACUCUCCUCCCUCCAAUUUUUCACAAUUUCAAAUAUUAAUAAUGCAUUUUUUGUUCGUUUGUAUAUCAAUAUAGUGAUAUAAUUGUGUGUAUAACACUCUUAGAUACAUGUCUAUCCGAUGGAUAAUAUGUAUGUACAAUAAUUAGUUCUAAAAAUAUUUUUAGUUUAGUUACGCGAUUUCGAUAGAAAAAUUUUUUAGCGUCAAUACCCUUCGAGUUCAACUCUCAUUUAAGCAUCGUUAGCCAACUCAGAGACACGUACAAAUACAACAAUCGAUCGAAGUUAGCGGUACAUUGAAAUACAACAAUACAAAUAAAUAAAUUGGUAAUAACAAAACUAAUCACGCGGUUAUCGCACUAAUAAUAUUUUUUUAGAAUCUAAUCCACGCACGAAUACUUAUUUUAUCGUACGGGAUAUUUGUCUAAUAGGGUUAGACAUACGAUUAACUAUAAUAGUGUAAUCGUAAUAUAUUUUAAAAUAUAGGUUAUAAGUGUAUAUUUUUUAUGUAUUACCCUAAUUUAUUUUUUUACGGGCAGUAUAAAUUUAAUUCGAAUUAUAUUUUUAUAUAUUUAUGAUUAAUAUAUAUAUAUAUAUUAUUUAAUUAUAAAUUUAUACUAAUCUUAGGGGUAGAAAAUAUGACUUCAUGGGCGGCAGCUUCCCGGAUGCAUCAAGCAGACAGCUUGAAUUUUUCAACUCGUUGCUAUCAACAGGAGGAUCUUCCUCGGUUACUUUUUUUUUUUUUUUUGUUCUUUCGAGGAAAAUGCUUCGUUUACUUUUCAACGAGGUAAAAAUUAUAAGUAUUUACCGAAGGUAAAAUGUAAAAUUUGUAAACCCCAAGAAUUUGCAUGUAAAAAAACAAUGCUUUAUUAGUACCAUAAAGUGAUACCAAAGACUUCCUUAAACCUAUUGAGAAUGAGGUAAUUUAAUGGUUAAAUUUUUUAUAUUUUAUUUAAAAAUUACGAAUUUAAAAUUUAAUUAGCUCACUACUUUAUAACUAUAUUAUAAAUUAUAUAAUAAAAUAUCAUUCUUGAACAAAAAUUUAUUUAUUUUAUGAUUGGAAUAGGAAAUUUAUGUUACGUUAUAAUUUUAAAAUUAAAAAAAAAAAAUCAAUAAGCGACAGAUAUAUAUAUUUAUUAUAUUAAUAACUGAGUCAGAUCGGUGUUUAAAAUAGUAUUUGAUUAAAUGAGACUAAAAAUUUAAUUCACUAAUUAACAGUAGUGUCGCAGUGCAAGCCGAACUUUGAAAGACUCAGACGAUCUCCGGCUCGUACGGAAUGCUGGAUACCGCAAUAUUAUUAUUGAGAUGGAUGGUUCUCUGGCUGUACACGAUUGCUUAACAAUGAUGAUUAUUGUAUUAGUGUUCGGAGUGCUGUCGUCCGCGAUAUCAAACACUUGUUAUUGAAGAAUUAACGUGUCAAAUUAUAACAUGCACAUCGCGAAGGGAAUAAAUGCGCUGACCGAUUGGUAAAUUUUGAUUUCUUGUUACAGUUUGGCCUUCAUUUGUAUGUAUGCUCACGCGCCAAGUGAUCUCUGUCACGAGAGUUUCUUGACUCGUAAUGUAUUCGACGAGCUUUUAAUUUUUUUUUAUUAAAUUAAAUUUAAAUAUUGAAUAAUUUAUUAUAUUUUUAAAUAAAAAAUACUAUGUGAUUAUUAAAUCCUUUUAAAUUUAGCUAGAAUAGUUCAAAAAACCCAACAUAAUUUUAGAAAAAAAAAAACUCACUUAGAAAGCUAAGAUAUGGGAAUCAUAUCUCCUUUUUUUUAACUUUACAUCAAUCAAAUAUUUUGAACUACAAAAUUAGAAAUUGAAAACCCUAUUUAUUAUUAUCCAGGUGAGAUCUCGACAUCAUCAGAUGGGUAAUACACUGCUCUGAAUCUAACACAGAGAUUAAUGUUUAUACGGUUCAGUAAGUUUCUUGUCCGAGUCAAUAAAAUGUUGCCAUCAACAAGGAACAUGAUGGCCUGAAAAAGUGAAUAAUUCCAAGAACAAAAAAUGAAUUGAGUGAGGGGGGAAAAGAACAGAAAAUAUGAAUCGCAACUUGUCAAGUCAUUUCACCCUCCUUGGUAUAAUCAAUAUCCCCCUCUCCUCCCCUCCCCCAACUCUCAAAUCUUUCUUUCAAACCAGACAUGAUUGUUCUUUCUUUCUAAAAUUUGUAUGUAAGACGUGUAUGUAUAUAUAUAUACAUGCAUACUGGAUUGAUUUGUUGUUUUUCUUUCUCGUGGGUCAUAUAAAUUUUUGAACUUUUUCUCUUUUGAUAUACAUGUAUAUGUAUGGAUGUAAUGGAAACAUGAAGAGAGAUGUGGGUAACAUGAAUAUAUAUAUAUAUAUAUGUACUGGAUUGAUUUCUUGUUUUUUUUUUUUUCAAAUGGGUCGUAUAAAUUUUAAAUUUUUUGUAGUUUUGAUAUAUGUAUGUAUAUAUGUAAUAGAUACAUGGGUAAGAUGAACAGUAUCAGAAUUUUGCUUCUUUCGAUCUCUCAACUAUCUAAUAAUGAAUAAUACACCGUCAACUUUUUACAGAGAACACAGAAGUGAUAUAACUCUGUUCUCUUCUCAUCAUCAUAAUAGAUACCUAGCUACUCAAUCAGAUUUUCUUUUUUUACAUCAAAUUUAAGAAAAAAAGAGAGAGAAAAAUGGAAACAAGAUCCUCCUGUUUUGAUUUUCUGUCUUUUAUCUUUCAAAUUCAUGGACAACAUUUCCUUUUUUUUUUUUUUUAAAUCUCUUUUUUUGUUUUGUCUUGAGUUUUUCCCGCUUGCUCUGUCUUCAAAUCCAAGAAAAACAAGAGCUUCUUCUUCCUUCCUUUUUCCUUUACUUCUUCAACUACUGUAGAACCCGCUUGUUUUCUUAUAAGAAAUUGCUUGUUCGAAUGAAUUUCUUGCCAACCGGGAGAGUGGGUAAGAAUCUGAGAGAGAAGAUUUGCAGAGUUAAUCACACGAUUGAGCAAAGAUACUAAUGGUGUCCUUGAUUAAGGAGAGAAGUUAAUAUUUUGUACCUUCUGAAGAUGAAGUGCUGAGCUUCUCAUGUGAAGAAUUGCUUGCAGAACGAAGCAAGAAUGAAGGAUCUGAUUUGUCGGGAGAACGAAGGAAAAAAAAAAACAUAUUAGAUUUUUUGAAUUGAAUGAAAAGAUUUUGAUUUUUAUUAUCGGAUUAAAUUGAAUAUAAAAAACCUGUUGAAGCAUUGAAUGAUCUCUUGCAGUGAAGAAUGGCGCUUUGGAUUCCGUCAUGUUGCAGAAGUAGCGAAUCAUCUCUUCUGCUCACCGGCGACCGAGCUCCGAACGCUGCCGACGCCGAUCUGCUCUUACCCAGAUGCUUACAGACUUCCCGUAUUCCCGCCUGAAUAUUCCCGUGCUUCUCCCUCUUCGGGGAAAAUCCGGGCACCGUAACCGGAGACGAUGCAGCCGACGCCAUUGAUAUCUCUCCGGAUAACUUCACUUUCUCGUUUUGCUUCUUUGAAACCUUAAUGUAAAAUGGCUUGAGCUUGAUUAGCUUCAAGUAUUUCUGAAUCAAAUCCGAUCGUUUCGAUGAGUCUUCUGCGCUUUGAUUUCGUGGAAUUCCACCUUUUUUCCUUAGACUGUUUCCUCUGGUGAGCAUCGAGAAGCUCUGAACUU
rnacentral:lncRNA from 1 species